GGCUCCAACGUGGACCGCUCGAUCCGGAGACGAGCGCACUAAUCAUGAGGCCACCGCGCCUCCCACAAACAUAGCAGCGCGUUUUACAAUUGAACCUUGUUUAAAUGUUUAACAAAAGGCUCUUACAGCUCAGUGGGUAGUCGUCAUCGCCGGCCAAUGUCAGGAUAAAGAAUCUGACUUGUUCUCAGCAACUGCAAUCUCAUCUAACAUUGACGUUUUUAUAGGCUACUCUUGUAGUAAUGUCGAUUGAGGUUGCGUGUAUGCGUGCCACGUGCAACAGGUAACCAAGAUGAUGUUCAGUCUCAAAAAACCAAUUCGUAUUUAGGUAAGGUGGGAACGGAGGACUUCCCUUCGGGACACACUGUUCUGUUCUAGAUAGAAUGGGAUUAGGAUCUUAGACAUAGACUAAGAAGUACAGUUAAGAAGGUGAAACUUUUGUUCCUUUUUUGUCCUCAGACCACGAGGGAAUGGAAUUCCCUUCCAGGCAAAAUAGUUCGUUUAUUCCAUCAACUUAUCUAAACAUUUGUCUAACCAGUCAGUCUCUAUAUAAUUAACACUCAUCGAAAGCAUUUUGUAUAAGUUAGAACAAGAGAUUAUAGUAUUAUCAAGGUAAGUACCUUGAUUAUCUCUUGGUUUAAUGUAUAAACAUGUUUUAUAUUUGACAGCUGGCGUGAUCCUCGUAGGGAUCUUUCCACCGGUUUAUAUUGGUAGAUUUUGAUUUAGAUGUAGAUACAGUUAAUGUUAUGAUCUGGUACUGUCUCUGUGGUUUAUAUAAAGGUCUCUUGUAAUACAACUUGUAUAUACAUGUAGUGAUGAACUUAAUUUAUCAUCUUCUGUUAUAUACGGCAUUUCAAACACUGUUCACGAACCCUCCAAUGAGACAACAAUAACAGUUUUUGAAACAAUGGACAUUUGUUAGUUUGACACCUACAGUUAUUAGUUUAUAAAUUUGUAUCACAAAGCACUUAUUACAACUUCGUUUGCCAAACAAU